rnacentral:rRNA from 1 species
AGCGGCGAACGGGUGCGUAACACGUGGGCAAUCUGUCUUAAAGUGGGGGAUAGCUCGGCGAAAGCCGAAUUAAUACCGCUUGUGAUGAGAGUAGACAUCUAUUCGAAAUCAAAGGUGGCGCAAGCUACCGCUUUUUGAGGGGCCCGCGGCCUAUCAGCUUGUUGGUGAGGUAACGGCUCACCAAGGCUAUGACGGGUAGCUGGUCUGAGAGGACGACCAGUCACACUGGGACUGAGACACGGCCCAGACACCUACGGGUGGCAGCAGUCGAGAAUUUUUGACAAUGGGGGAAACCCUGAUCGAGCGACGCCGCGUGGAGGAUGAAGGUCUUCGGGUUGUAAACUCCUGUCAUUUGAGAACAAGGUGCACACGUUUACUGCGUGUGCAUUGAUAGUAUCAGAAGAGGAAGAGACGGCUAACUCUGUGCCAGCAGCCGCGGUAAUACAGAGGUCUCAAGCGUUGUUCGGAUUCAUUGGGCGUAAAGGGUGUGUAGGUGGAGCCGUAAGUGGGGUGUGAAAUUUCGGAGCUUAACUCCGAAACUGCAUUCCA